UUGAACGCUGGCGGCAGGCCUAACACAUGCAAGUCGAACGGUAACAUUUCUAGCUUGCUAGAAGAUGACGAGUGGCGGACGGGUGAGUAAUGCUUGGGAACUUGCCUUUGCGAGGGGGAUAACAGUUGGAAACGACUGCUAAUACCGCAUAAUGUCUUCGGACCAAACGGGGCUUCGGCUCCGGCGCAAAGAGAGGCCCAAGUGAGAUUAGCUAGUUGGUAAGGUAACGGCUUACCAAGGCGACGAUCUCUAGCUGUUCUGAGAGGAAGAUCAGCCACACUGGGACUGAGACACGGCCCAGACUCCUACGGGAGGCAGCAGUGGGGAAUAUUGCACAAUGGGGGAAACCCUGAUGCAGCCAUGCCGCGUGUGUGAAGAAGGCCUUCGGGUUGUAAAGCACUUUCAGUUGUGAGGAAAAGUUAGUAGUUAAUACCUGCUAGCCGUGACGUUAACAACAGAAGAAGCACCGGCUAACUCCGUGCCAGCAGCCGCGGUAAUACGGAGGGUGCGAGCGUUAAUCGGAAUUACUGGGCGUAAAGCGCACGCAGGCGGUUUGUUAAGCUAGAUGUGAAAGCCCCGGGCUCAACCUGGGAUGGUCAUUUAGAACUGGCAGACUAGAGUCUUGGAGAGGGGAGUGGAAUUCCAGGUGUAGCGGUGAAAUGCGUAGAUAUCUGGAGGAACAUCAGUGGCGAAGGCGACUCCCUGGCCAAAGACUGACGCUCAUGUGCGAAAGUGUGGGUAGCGAACAGGAUUAGAUACCCUGGUAGUCCACACCGUAAACGCUGUCUACUAGCUGUGUGUGCCUUUAAGGCGUGCGUAGCGAAGCUAACGCGCUAAGUAGACCGCCUGGGGAGUACGGCCGCAAGGUUAAAACUCAAAUGAAUUGACGGGGGCCCGCACAAGCGGUGGAGCAUGUGGUUUAAUUCGAUGCAACGCGAAGAACCUUACCUACACUUGACAUGCUGAGAAGUUACUAGAGAUAGUUUCGUGCCUUCGGGAACUCAGACACAGGUGCUGCAUGGCUGUCGUCAGCUCGUGUCGUGAGAUGUUGGGUUAAGUCCCGCAACGAGCGCAACCCUUGUCCUUAGUUGCCAGCCUUAAGUUGGGCACUCUAAGGAGACUGCCGGUGACAAACCG
rnacentral:rRNA from 1 species